UACGUAGGGGGCUAGCGUUGUCCGGAAUCAUUGGGCGUAAAGAGCGUGUAGGCGGCCCGGUAAGUCCGCUGUAAAAGUCAAAGGCUCAACCUUUGAAUGUCAGUGGAUACUGCCGGGCUAGAGUCCGGAAGAGGCGAGUGGAACUCCUGGUGUAGCGGUGGAAUGCGCAGAUAUCAGGAGGAACACCGGUGGCGAAGGCGCCACUCUGGGCCGAAACUGACGCUGAGGAGCGAAAGCGUGGGUAGCAAACAGG
rnacentral:rRNA from 1 species